rnacentral:lncRNA from 1 species
UAAUAUUUUAUUGACAGGAAUCAGUAAUUCAAUUGUUGCUAUAUAGAUAUGUGUAUAAUUUUUUGUUUUUUUUUUAUGAUGCAUUUUGUAUUUAAAUUGAAGAUUGCAGGAGCAAUCUUGGCGACGAAGGGAAGGGUAUAACCAGUAUAUUUUAGAUGCAAGAAUGUUAAAAUGUGGAAUUCAAAUAAUUGUUAUAAUUCAGUAUUAGUUAAGAUAUUUAGCACUAGCUUAAGAAAUAAUUUACUUGAUAAAUAAUUAAUAUAAAUCUUCACAAUUUUAGAUAAGUGUAAAGCAAAUUAU